rnacentral:rRNA from 1 species
AGUGAAGCGGGAUGAAGCUCAAAUUUAAAAUCUGGCUGGUUUUCUGGUCCGAAUUGUAGUUUAAAGAAGCGUUUUCGGUGGCAGCCCGGGUAUAAAUCCUUUGGAACAGGGUAUCAUAGAGGGUGAGAAUCCCGUCUUUGACCUGGUGCAUGCUACUAUGUGAUACGUUUUCAAAGAGUCGAGUUGUUUGGGAAUGCAGCUCAAAAUGGGUGGUAAAUUUCAUCUAAGGCUAAAUAUUGGCGAGAGACCGAUAGCGAACAAGUACCGUGAGGGAAAGAUGAAAAGAACUUUGAAAAGAGAGUUAAACAGUGCGUGAAAUUGUUGAAAGGGAAACGUUUGACACCAGUCAUGCGGAUGAAAAAUCAGUCAAUGGUAGUGGGGAGUGGUAAGGGUUCAGACCGUAAGGCUGGCCUUUGCUUCAUCUUUGUUGCCGUUGAUGCACUUUUUCAUUUGCAGGUCAACAUCAGUUUCUCCUGCUGGACAAAACUCCGAGAGAAGGUAGCAGCUUAGGCUGUGUUAUAGCUCUGGAGCGAUACAGUGGGGGGGACUGAGGAUUUCGCAGUGUGUGCUCUCGGGCAAGGCUGACUGGGUGCUAUGGGAUUGUUCAGCGUACAAUGCUUGCAUUUUGCGUCGUGUCUUUCCUAUACUCGCUCAGCUCAGCUCUUCCACACUUAGGAUGUUGACUUAAUGGUUUUAAACGACC